rnacentral:rRNA from 1 species
AUGGGGACGCAAGCGGCGCCGGCGGCUAGCGAGAUCGCGGCGGUGGGUGUGAUCGGCGCGGGGCAGAUGGGCUCGGGCAUCGCCCAGCUCGCCGCCGCCGCCGGCUGCGGCGUCUUCCUCCUCGACUCCGACCCCGCGGCCCUCUCCCGUGCCGUCGCCUCCAUCUCCUCCUCCCUCGGCCGCCUCGUCUCCAAGGGCCAGCUCUCCCAGGUGAAUCCCCUCGCCUCCCCCGCCUCGCAAAUUAGGGCUAAGGUGACGCCGUUCGUUGACAUUUCUAGUCUCGCCUGGUCACAGGCUGCGUGCGAUGAUUCCGUCAAGCGGAUAAAGUGCGUCUCCGAUGUGCAAGAGCUGCGGGGCGUGGAUCUGGUGAUUGAGGCCAUCGUUGAGUCCGAAGACGUCAAGAAGAAGCUGUUCGUGGAGCUGGACAGGAUCACCAAACCUUCUGCCAUUCUUGCGUCCAACACCAGCUCCAUUUCUAUAACCCGGCUCGCCUCAGCUACUAGCCGCCCCUCUCAGGUGAUAGGCAUGCACUUUUUUAACCCUCCUCCUAUAAUGAAGCUGGUUGAAAUAAUACGAGGAGCUGAUACAUCCGAAGAGGUUUUCUCUCAAGUUAAAUCUUUCUCUGAAAGGAUUGGGAAGACCGUUAUAUGCUCACAAGAUUACCCCGGCUUCAUUGUAAACCGCAUCCUAAUGCCGAUGAUUAAUGAAGCAUUUUGGGCACUUUACACUGGGGUAGCAACCAAAGAGGACAUCGACACAGGGAUGAAGCUCGGCACGAAUCAUCCAAUGGGGCCUCUGCAGCUUGCUGACUUCAUAGGGUUAGAUGUUUGCCUUUCAGUACUUAGGGUGCUCCACAACGGGCUAGGAGAUAACAAGUACAGCCCUUGCCCUCUUCUUGUCCAAUAUGUCGAUGCCGGACGACUUGGAAAGAAGCGCGGACUAGGUGUAUACUCUUACAGGAGAAACUCUUCAUCCGUUAAACCCAAAUCAUCUCUGUAA